CGAGCGAACAGACGAGGAGCUUGCUCCUCUGACGUUAGCGGCGGACGGGUGAGUAACACGUGGAUAACCUACCUAUAAGACUGGGAUAACUUCGGGAAACCGGAGCUAAUACCGGAUAAUAUAUUGAACCGCAUGGUUCAAUAGUGAAAGACGGUUUUGCUGUCACUUAUAGAUGGAUCCGCGCCGCAUUAGCUAGUUGGUAAGGUAACGGCUUACCAAGGCAACGAUGCGUAGCCGACCUGAGAGGGUGAUCGGCCACACUGGAACUGAGACACGGUCCAGACUCCUACGGGAGGCAGCAGUAGGGAAUCUUCCGCAAUGGGCGAAAGCCUGACGGAGCAACGCCGCGUGAGUGAUGAAGGUCUUCGGAUCGUAAAACUCUGUUAUUAGGGAAGAACAAAUGUGUAAGUAACUAUGCACGUCUUGACGGUACCUAAUCAGAAAGCCACGGCUAACUACGUGCCAGCAGCCGCGGUAAUACGUAGGUGGCAAGCGUUAUCCGGAAUUAUUGGGCGUAAAGCGCGCGUAGGCGGUUUUUUAAGUCUGAUGUGAAAGCCCACGGCUCAACCGUGGAGGGUCAUUGGAAACUGGAAAACUUGAGUGCAGAAGAGGAAAGUGGAAUUCCAUGUGUAGCGGUGAAAUGCGCAGAGAUAUGGAGGAACACCAGUGGCGAAGGCGACUUUCUGGUCUGUAACUGACGCUGAUGUGCGAAAGCGUGGGGAUCAAACAGGAUUAGAUACCCUGGUAGUCCACGCCGUAAACGAUGAGUGCUAAGUGUUA
rnacentral:rRNA from 2 species